AGGACGAACGCUGGCGGCGUGCUUAACACAUGCAAGUCGAGCGGAAAGGCCCUUCGGGGUACUCGAGCGGCGAACGGGUGAGUAACACGUGAGCAACCUGCCCUUAGCUCCGGGAUAGCUCCGGGAAACCGGAAUUAAUACCGGAUACGACCACGGCCGACAUCUGUCGUGGUGGAAAGGAUUCCGGCUAGGGAUGGGCUCGCGGCCUAUCAGCUUGUUGGUGGGGUAACGGCCUACCAAGGCGACGACGGGUAG
rnacentral:rRNA from 1 species